GCUAAAAUUCUCCAAACCUGUUCUGAUGAACAAACAACAAGUACAUUUUCAUUUUCUGGGUGAACUAUUCCUUUAAAAGUAUAAAGUAUUGAAACAGAUGAAAAUAUAUAUUUCAAUUAAAUGCUGCUGCUGAGAGGCUGGAAUGUCUGUCCAGAGGUGAGUGACCCACAUCCAGCCCAAAACAUGCUCAGAAAAGAAGUAGGUUUAUCAAGAGAUACUCACACUUACUUUAAAUGAAUGUAAACUAUUUUUUUUUUUUCAAAAUCAAUAUGAAAUUAGAGUAGCUGCUUUUCCACAGUUUAAAUACUAACAUUAUAGUUGUUUGGUUUCUAGGUAAAGAGAUGAGAUAAACCACUCUUAGAUUACCCAGAAUCUCUGUAGCUCAGGGCAAGUUGUAUUUCUAUUUCUCUUGUUGAGCAUCCAGUUGCUAGCCUACCGUGUCUAUCUACAACAAACCUGUGCCAGGUGUUAUGUCUUAUAUACAGCGUCUUUGCAAUGGUCUCAGUGCUGGUCCCUCAGGUGUGGGGCUGAAACUGUGUCAAGCGUGCUUGUUAGGAAUGUGCCCUGGUACCAAGUGCAGCUUGACACUAUUCUCUAGAGCACGGAGUUUUUGCUGAGCAACACUUUAAAAGAGCCAGGAUGCUAACAGCUUGUACGGUGCUUUCAUUUAGUGUCGCUUACAGAGAUGAACAAGAUUCAGUUUUAAAUAACUGCUUUAUAUUUUAAUACAUGACUUUUCUAUUUAAAUAAUAUUCCUGUAAUUUUCAGCAGUCCUUACUUCAGUCUUCAGUGUCACAAUUAACCCUUAGAAAUCAUUCUGAUAUGUAGAUUUGCUGCUCAAGAAACAUUUCUUACUAUUAUAAAAAGUUGAAAACAUUUGUGCUGCCUAAUAUAUUUAUGGAAACCUUUAAGUACAUAAACAACGUAGGAUUCUUUAUACAAAGCAAUUCAUUGCAGAAUUCCCUUUUAAUACAUGCUUGCUUAAUAGGUUUUUUUUUUUUUUUAAACCCAAUAAUUUCAUCGGUGGUGCAUAUAUGGUCUUUGUAAUUCAUGUGUGGUUUUUUGUGUCUCUUUUCUCUGAUGAAGUACUGUGUCUGGUCUUUUGAAGUCCUUCACUCUGAAUGAUGCUUAGGCAGUGAUCAGCGAGUCCUCUUCAGAGCAGCAGCUGAUUGGAUAGCCAGAAGUUAUUUCCUGUACUUCAACCAUGCCUCUCUGAUGAAAAUCCCAUAUUUUUUACUCUCUCUGACAGUUUUCAGAAGUGGUAGCCAAACUAGGGGAAUGCCUGUGUAAUUUGGAGCUAAUGUCUCCAGCCUCCAGUAACAGCAGUGGUUCUCUUUCGCCCUCAUCCUCCACUGACUGCCUGGUAGCACGUGGUAGUCCUGGACGAAGUCACGUAGGUGCCCUUCGCUUGCGUUUUGAGUAAGAGUAAAGACUCUGGUCGAAGGUCUUCACAGGGCUUGUCCCUGGAUAAGCUGAGGAGUAACAUGCAGUUCCCACCCACUGACCGAAACGGACAUGUGUCAGAUCCCAUGAGCACCAUGCUUUUCCAUUCAUGCAGCAGCAAUGGAAGUUUUGAGGACAGCAACUAGAAGCAGCAACUCUCUGAAGAACAUCACACGCAAACAUGACAUGUCUGAUUACCAUAAUUAUGAGUUUUCGACUUUUAAAAACCACUAUUUACAUUGCUGUCAAAGUCAUAAUGUUCAAAGAGCUCCUACUUCUUUCAACCAAAAUGGCACGACAAACAUGAAUCAAAACCUCACAAUGAGUCAUUUGGCAAAUAAGAGUGUUAUUAAAGAAACUAAUAAUUCAGAGGUCAGAGAGCGUGAACAGCUCAAGAGUAGGAUAUCAGAAUUGUCAACUUGUAAUUAUUAUGUUGAACGCACCAUAUUUAGUCUAAGGGACACAUAACACUCAAUCAUUGACACUUCAGUCAUUGUGUGUACUUCUGUAUAAGAAUGAAGAUUUCAACAUACUUAUUAUACA